CCAGACAAGACACAGCAACAGAAUAGGAUAUGAUGGAGAGAGACACCAGACAAGACACAGAGACAGCAACAGAAUAGGAUACGAUGGAGAGAGAAACCAGACAAGACACAGAGACAGCAACAGACGACACAGAGAAAGUGAUGGAGAGAGACAGAAGAAUAGAGUUCCAGACAGUUGUAGAAUGUAUGCCAAGGCACAUUGUAAGAGCUGUAAAGAGAGAGGGAGGGAGAGAGAACAGGCAGAACCUGAUAUGUAAAUGAGCAGAGCAAAUGAAACUAACUUUUGACGACCUGAUGAUCAUCCAGACUCUGUUUCUAUUGAGAGAUACAAGGCUGGUUGAAUGAGUUGCCUAUGAAAGCUACUUCAUCUGUAAGAAAACAGGCGUCUGCACCAGUGACUGGAUCAGUGCUCUAAAAUGAGUCUCUCUGGGGAGAGAGAGGAAGGGGGCCCUGCCUCUAAAAUGAAUGUCUCUGGGGAGAGAGAGGAAGGGGGCCCUGCCUCUAAAAUGAGUCUCACUGGGGAGAGAGAGGAGGGGGGCCCUGCCUCUAAAAGGAAUGUCUCUGGGGAACAUGGCACCAAAUCUAAGAGGCUGUCACGCUGUCUAGUCACAGAGGAAGCCUGUGAUUCUCUGGUCUCAGCUCUGAG